rnacentral:rRNA from 1 species
UGGGGAAUAUUGCACAAUGGGCGAAAGCCUGAUGCAGCAACGCCGCGUGAGUGAUGAAGGCCUUCGGGUUGUAAAGCUCUGUCUUUUGGGACGAUAAUGACGGUACCAAAGGAGGAAGCCACGGCUAACUACGUGCCAGCAGCCGCGGUAAUACGUAGGUGGCAAGCGUUGUCCGGAUUUACUGGGCGUAAAGGAUGCGUAGGCGGAUUUUUAAGUGGGAUGUGAAAUACCCGGGCUUAACUUGGGUGCUGCAUUUCAAACUGGGAAUCUAGAGUGCGGGAGAGGAGAAUGGAAUUCCUAGUGUAGCGGUGAAAUGCGUAGAGAUUAGGAAGAACACCAGUGGCGAAGGCGAUUCUCUGGACCGUAACUGACGCUGAGGCAUGAAAGCGUGGGUAGCAAACAGGAUUAGAUACCCUGGUAGUCCACGCCGUAAACGAUGAGUACUAGGUGUAGGAGGUAUCGACCCCUUCUGUGCCGCAGUUAACACAAUAAGUACUCCGCCUGGGGAAGUACGAUCGCAAGAUUAAAAA